CCUGGCGGCAAUAGCGCGGUGGUCCCACCUGACCCCAUGCCGAACUCAGAAGUGAAAUGCCGUAGCGCCGAUA
rnacentral:rRNA from 1 species